rnacentral:rRNA from 1 species
CGUAUAUUCUAGUGAGUAAGGAGGUGUGAUGGUAAGCGUUGAAGGGUCUGGGUGUAAACCUGCCCGGAGCUGCCAUCGGCACAGAUCUUGGUGGUAGUAGCAAAUACUCAAGUGAGAUCCUUGAGGGCUGACGUGGAGAAGGGUUCCAUGUGAACAGCAAUUGCACAUGGGUGAGUCGUUCCUAAGCCAAAGGCGAAAGCCACGCUCAUAAACUUGUGGCCACAUGAAUCUUAUAAAAAAUAUACCAUGCCAGAAACAGCACCGAAUGGAUAGGCUAUCCUCAGGUGCUCGUGGAAGCAAUAAUGGUUAUUUUUUCUUUCGAGUGAGCCUGCAAGGAGUUUGGCGAAAGGGAAUCCGGUACUCAUUCCGGAACCUGGACAUGAGGAGUAGUGUUGCUUUAUGCAUCACAUAGCCGCAAGGCAUUACCAUCCUGGAGAAUCCAACCAGAGAGCCGGGAAGAGUUGUCUUUUCUGCUUAAGGGGAAGAGGGCCUUGUGAACUGGGUCGGUCAGAGAGAGGGUCUUUUCCCCGAAUAGCACCGCGGUUCUUGCGGAGUCCAGCUCCUCUGGUAUGGAACUUGAAAAUCCAGGGGUAAGAUGAAAUA